GGUAACUGCCAAGAGGACAAACAUACCUGGGAUGAAGCAAUAUCGUCCACGCCGAUCCAAUCCAUUUAUGGGUGCUCGAUCCAGGAGCCCAUAUGUUGCUCCUUAUUUCUUCUCACCAUAUGGAUACGGGAAAGUCCCGAGGUUCAGAAUGCCAACGCGUUACGGCCCCUACUAUUGAAUGUUAAUUUUGUUUUUGGGCAUUGUUGAAUUAGAGACAUUGCACUUAAAUGUGUCUGCAUGCCCUUUUCUUUCUUACGGAAAUUGAUGUUUGGAUAUAAUUUUAAGAGAUCUUUUCUGUUUAAAAAGAAAUGGAGUGUGAGCAAGCACGACGCAGGUUCGAUCACUUUGAGCUGUACCAUUCGCAGCAUCACUGCGUAAGAAAAGCUUCUCUGGACUUUGCUGCUGGUAAGUUUUCAAGAUCUAAGUAUUCAUUUUGGAAUUGUGCAUGUUGUUCGAAGCUAACAUUGGAAAAUCCAAUACAUACUUGGUAUCAAACCGUUU
rnacentral:misc_RNA from 1 species